rnacentral:lncRNA from 1 species
CUUCUCUGUCUCCGCCAACCAAUACUGGGCAUCUUCAAAAGAGGACUCCCCUACAAAAGUGGAAGGGUUCAGUCUCCUGUACCUCUCUACGUAGCCCGGGUCAAUCAGGGAAGGAGCUGGGUCCUGUGGAAGAGGGACUGGGCCGGGUGGAGGAUAGACUGGGGGGCCCUGUGGUGGCACCUGCUGAUAUAAUGGGGGCACUGGAUUGUACUGUGGUGGUGCCGAGCAGUACUGUGGCUGGGGCACCGAUUAUACUGCAGCGGUGGUGCCGGGGGGUACUGUAGAGGAGCAGGCUCGUGCCGGGGUGGCUCGGGAUCCACUCACUGUAGCAGUGGCUCAACCUGUGGUAGUGGGGGAGGAUCGGGUGACUCCCUUCUCUCCUGUCGGCCUUGCUAGGCAGCAAUGAUCCUUUCUAGCAUCUCAAAUAUUCUGUCCACAUCUUUCCGAAGCGAAUCAUCCCGGGCUGCUCGGUUUAGCAGGGGUCUUCCUCUCCUCAUCUCUCUACACCUGUAUUUCACA